GUGAAUCAUCGAAUUUUUGAACGCAAAUUGCACUCUCCGGUUUUCCGGGAGAGUAUGCCUGUUUGCGGGUCAGCCUAAAAAAAAUCGACAUUGUUGCUGUUAUUUAAUGGUGACUUUCGUCGGAGAUUGGGUUAUCUUAAACCUUUUUUUUUUUGGUUUAAGCGACUUAAAAUUUUUUUUCCCGAUUCCAUUGACGUUUUUAAGUUUUUUUUUUCUUAUACUUUUUA
rnacentral:misc_RNA from 1 species